CAAAGAAGCAGGCGCCAUGUCUCACCUGUGAACUCGGAGGACGACAAACAGUUCAUCCCCAGGUCUUUUCAGAAAAUCGACAUCAUGGCAACCAAAACAGCUGAGGAUUUCCAAAAACCAGAAGAUAGCAGCUAUGACAUCAAGGACUGUAAGUUGAACUAACAACA